CUGUAAGUUUCAGUGUCGAACGAGAUCCGUUGUGGCAUUGUUGCGAAAUGCGAUAUCGAUGAUUUUGUGUACACCAUUUUAGGUACAGAAUGGCUGUUUUUCAUCAAAUCGAUCCCAAGAAUAGGCACAAACUUCUUGAAGAUGGAAUUCCACGCUUCAUUAUGUCUUCAUGAAAUUCGGACAACCGUUUGUUUUAUCAGCGUCCUGUGCCAGCUAGAAUUUGUGAUGGACGGAAAUCUAUAUACGUCUUGGGCCUGUUCAGCCGAGACGUCGCGUUUGUAAAGAGACAUCUAUUUGUUCUACUUGAAAAGCGUUCGCUCAGCAACAGUCAAGCCUGACAAUGUGAUGGUGGAUUAAAAUAUUUGCACAUGAGCAGUGUCUGUGCAUACAGUGGAAGGCAGAUACGGAUAACUCUGGCACGAAUAUUUGCACAGACGAAUAGAUCCCUAACAAAGAUCUUGCAGGAUUACAUUACUGGCGUACCCGUAAUUCGAAAAAAAAAAAAUACGUGGAAACUUACAGAAGCCGCAUCUAGGAAUCUUCUGUCAUACGUGUGUGCGAAAGAUUAUCAGUAACGAUUGCUUUCAAUGCGUGGCAAGCAAAAAGGAAAUCCAAUUGCAGAGUGUAUGUCAGGCACGACAGUUCAGUUAUUGAAGCGCAUAACACUCGAUUGCGACACACUGGCAAGACCAACAAUAUGACUGGACAGAAAUGCAACAGGAUUUUAACCUUUAAUCCAAUUUAUCAACAAUUGCUCGAAUGAUACGUAAUGAUCUGGAUGACGCAGUGGAUUUCCUAGAGGAACAACGUCUAGUGGUAGAGCCUGCUACUAAAAUUGGUUCUUUUCGUUUGGCUUACUUUUUCACGAAUACGUCGUCUUUAGUGUCUGUCUCCAUACUGCCCACAAUGGAAUGCAGGUUGUUAGGGCAACACCGGAAAAGACGUACGCGCAUUGGGCUCUUCUGUGAAAUUGCAAGUAGACUAUGACGUCAAUGACGACUUUGAAGUCUAUCGCACAACUCCAAUUUUUUUUUUCACGCAAACUAUUUCUUUUGUUAACUGUAUUAUCGCAGUUUAACAAAAGAACCUCCAAGACGAAAUUGCUGAGAGGAUCCAUGUUUUAUUAUUUAAAAGCGUAAAAGAGGGAGUAUUUCUCCUUUCCCUUGAAAGCAAUUUCGGAAAUCUUCUCUUGUUCCACUACCGGACUGCACAACCAGCAUCAUCGUAAAGGCAUCCACUCGAUUGUAAUGAAUCAAGAUUGUAAGUAGGAAAUCUGCAGGAUGUGUUGAUUCAACAGUUUUUCACUAUUCAUUUUUUGUUUUUGAUUGCCUACAUCUUUUUAUAUAUUAAUUUAAACAACCAUUAAAUAGAUAGAUCACGCCGUCGCGUACACGAAACAAGUUGUCGCGAUGGUGGACAUUAUGGAAUUUUUUUUUACGGGUUCGUUAUAGUUUCAUAACAGCAGCUAAUUAUGCCUAAAUCAAAAUGCAAUUCGGAAAGAAAUUUAAAACAACAAGAGUUUGAAACAAAAUCCGUUUAUUGAGUCGCUUUAAAAACAUCUAAUUAGAUUUUUAUCGUGAUCGGCGAAUUCCUACGUAACGCUUCGCGUAAACUGAACGAUUCUGAAAAAGGUGAAUCCGCAACAGAGGUGAGAAGAGCUAGUACCUUCUUCCGACAGCUAUGAUUUUCCAGAAGAAGGCGAUCGGAUUAGAAGGUGUACGAAUGGAAGGUGAGAGCCCAAAAUGACAAUGAAAAGUAAAAUACAUUUCCGGAUUCACCAAUCAAUAUCACAGGAUUGCAACAUGGGAAAAACGCCUUUCUGAAGUUAGGUUCUGAUAAGUUCGAUGAAAAUAAAGUUGCGUCGUGGAUCGAUAGUGAAACUUCGAUUCGGAUUAGAAGAAACCGUUGGAAUCAUAUGUCUACUGUGCCGUUGGAGUCGCAGCAAGUGCGAUAUUUCGUCCGCGUUCGUUGGUUCGUCAUUUCGCUAAACCAGCACAGUGUCCUUGAGCUCAAAGUAAUCGGCGUUUCGGUUUAUCCGUUGUCCAAACUCACGGGCGACUUUCAUUUUUGGUUGUAUAUUAUGACAAAAGAUGGCGCUGAUGGACUUGUUUUUUUAUGACAAGUGAAAUAGCAGUGAACUGUGAAACUGGUUUCUGAUUAUUUGUUUUAUGUGUUACAUUCCCAAGAAAAGUAUAAUAAAAUCUAAUGGUAUGGUU